rnacentral:tRNA from 1 species
GGCGUGAUAGCUCAGUUGGUAGAGGAUUGAAAUGNGUCCCCAGUUCGAUCCUGGGUCUCGCCACCA